GACGAACCGUGCGAACGUUGCUCGGAAUCACUGGGCGUAAAGCGCACGUAGGCGGAUUGCUAAGUCAGGGGUGAAAUCCUGGAGCUCAACUCCAGAACUGCCUUUGAUACUGGCGACCUUGAGUCCGGGAGAGGUGAGUGGAACUGCGAGUGUAGAGGUGAAAUUCGUAGAUAUUCGCAAGAACACCAGUGGCGAAGGCGGCUCACUGGCCCGGUACUGACGCUGAGGUGCGAAAGCGUGGGGAGCAAACAGG
rnacentral:rRNA from 1 species